UUGAAUCCAAGGCUUCAGAGGCGGACCUACAGAGUAGCUGCUCCCAACUCUCUUUGGCAUGUAGAUGGCAAUCACAAAUUAAUAAGAACGAGUAUCUAAAGAAAUGGCAACUCAGCAUUGUGAAACAUACCCAAGUGACAGAGACAGCGCCGAAAAUAAGAUAUCGAUACAGGUCCAAGGUUUUCGUCUUGAAAUUUAUUCAACUCGCCAGACCAAAUUCUCCUGCUCCAUUGAUGAAAAUGAAGUAGAAAUCGUGUUGAAAACCAAGGAAGAAAAGGAGGUCUUGAACGUGGGUGUACAGCCUCAGGACGAAAGAAACACCGGAGCGGGACUAGACACUGCUCCCGAAACUUCGGGGUUUGACACACAGGAUGACGAUAUAAUGUCUGAAAUUUGCAUCUUGGUACGGAACGACUCAUCUUCAACUUUCCAAAAAAGAAUGGCAAAUCAGCAUGGUGAAACCAACCCCAUUGACAAAAAUCACGGUGAAGAAAAGAUAUCGAUGAAGAUUGACAUCCAGACGAAGUUCAAUAAAACUGUAGUAGAAAUUUUGUCAUAGAGUUUAAUAAUGCACUGGGAAAAAAUAAGCAAUAUGAAUAAAGCUUCGGAUGGAGAUAAUACCUCAAGAACAAAGUUGAUAAAUGUGAAUGUUGCACCUGAUAUUUUAAAACUUUCACCAACUCAAAAUAAAAUAAAAAGUGCAGCUACUAACACAUAGGCUUAUCGAAAUUUCAUUUUAAGUCAAACAUGUCUACUAUGCAAACCUCAUUAAGUAUGUUAAAAAUCCUCUCGGGUCUAUUCUUUUUCAUGGCUAUCAAUAGGUCAUAAACAUGGAUACUGGCACUUUCCAAUUCACAAUAUGAAUAAAAGCUCCUGAUACAAAAUAAAACUUAAAGAACAAAGAUUAAAAAUUAAAAUGCUGCCCUCUAAAUGCUGUUUCAAAACAGUUUCCAACUCAGAUAAUGUAUCAGAAAAGUACUACACAGAAUAUACUUAUUGAUAUUUUUUAAAGUUAAUCAUUCAAAAUAAUGCAAACGUUAAUAAAUAUGUUAAAAUCGUAUUUGGGCUAUGUCAUGACAUUUACGGGUCGUGUACGUGGUUAGAGCAUUGGACUCAUAAGAGUAUAAAAGUUGAGAGUUCGAAUCUUCGUUCUGCAAUUGUCUCCACUUUGAUAAAAAGACCCGAGAGUAAUUUAUGUUGUCUAUGCCUGAUUGAUGCAGGAGUCACAUUUCCAAUACGAUGUCCGCAUGGAAGAAAAGGAGGUCGUGACAAUGGAUGUAGAGGAAUCGGGAUCGGGGACACUUGAUGAAGAACCAAUGUCUU
rnacentral:misc_RNA from 1 species